rnacentral:rRNA from 1 species
AUUGAACGCUGGCGGCAUGCUUUACACAUGCAAGUCGAACGGUAACAGGCCGCAAGGUGCUGACGAGUGGCGAACGGGUGAGUAAUGCAUCGGAACGUGCCCAGUCGUGGGGGAUAACGCAGCGAAAGCUGCGCUAAUACCGCAUACGAUCUAUGGAUGAAAGCCGGGGACCGUAAGGCCUCGCGCGAUUGGAGCGGCCGAUGUCAGAUUAGGUAGUUGGUGGGGUAAAGGCUCACCAAGCCAACGAUCUGUAGCUGGUCUGAGAGGACGACCAGCCACACUGGGACUGAGACACGGCCCAGACGCCUACGGGAGGCAGCAGUGGGGAAUUUUGGACAAUGGGCGCAAGCCUGAUCCAGCAAUGCCGCGUGCAGGAAGAAGGCCUUCGGGUUGUAAACUGCUUUUGUACGGAACGAAACGGUCCGGGUUAAUACCCUGGGCUAAUGACGGUACCGUAAGAAUAAGCACCGGCUAACUACGUGCCAGCCGCCGCGGUAAUAC